GGGAAUAUAGUUUUAAUAGGAAAAACGUAUGCUUUGCACGCAUAAGAUUAUCAGUUCGAGUCUGAUUGUUUCCA
rnacentral:tRNA from 1 species